AUUGAACGCUGGCGGCAGGCCUAACACAUGCAAGUCGAGCGGAUGAAGGGAGCUUGCUCCUGGAUUCAGCGGCGGACGGGUGAGUACUGCCUAGGAAUCUGCCUGGUAGUGGGGGAUAACGUCCGGAAACGGGCGCUAAUACCGCAUACGUCCUGAGGGAGAAAGUGGGGGAUCUUCGGACCUCACGCUAUCAGAUGAGCCUAGGUCGGAUUAGCUAGUUGGUGGGGUAAAGGCCUACCAAGGCGACGAUCCGUAACUGGUCUGAGAGGAUGAUCAGUCACACUGGAACUGAGACACGGUCCAGACUCCUACGGGAGGCAGCAGUGGGGAAUAUUGGACAAUGGGCGAAAGCCUGAUCCAGCCAUGCCGCGUGUGUGAAGAAAGUCUUCGGAUUGUAAAGCACUUUAAGUUGGGAGGAAGGGCAGUAAGUUAAUACCUUGCUGUUUUGACGUUACCAACAGAAUAAGCACCGGCUAACUUCGUG
rnacentral:rRNA from 1 species